rnacentral:piRNA from 1 species
UGAUAUGGGAAUCCUAGUGCGCUGGGCAG